rnacentral:rRNA from 1 species
AGAGUUUGAUCAUGGCUCAGAUUGAACGCUGGCGGCAGGCCUAACACAUGCAAGUCGAGCGGAUGAAGGGAGCUUGCUCCUGGAUUUAGCGGCGGACGGGUGAGUAAUGCCUAGGAAUCUGCCUGGUAGUGGGGGAUAACGUUCCGAAAGGAACGCUAAUACCGCGUACGUCCUACGGGAGAAAGCAGGGGACCUUCGGGCCUUGCGCUAUCAGAUGAGCCUAGGUCGGAUUAGCUAGUUGGUGAGGUAAUGGCUCACCAAGGCGACGAUCCGUAACUGGUCUGAGAGGAUGAUCAGUCACACUGGAACAUGAGACACGGUCCAGACUCCUACGGGAGGCAGCAGUGGGGAAUAUUGGACAAUGGGCGAAAGCCUGAUCCAGCCAUGCCGCGUGUGUGAAGAAGGUCUUCGGAUUGUAAAGCACUUUAAGUUGGGAGGAAGGGUUGUACGUUAAUACCGUGCUAUUUUGACG